GACGAACGCUGGCGGCGUGCUUAACACAUGCAAGUCGAACGGAAAGGCCCUGCUUUUGUGGGGUGCUCGAGUGGCGAACGGGUGAGUAACACGUGAGUAACCUGCCCUUGACUUUGGGAUAACUUCAGGAAACUGGGGCUAAUACCGGAUAGGAGCUCCUGCUGCAUGGUGGGGGUUGGAAAGUUUCGGCGGUUGGGGAUGGACUCGCGGGUUAUCAGCUUGUUGGUGGGGUAGUGGCUUACCAAGGCUUUGACGGGUAGCCGGCCUGAGAGGGUGACCGGCCACAUUGGGCCUGAGAUACGGCCCAGACUCCUACGGGAGGCAGCGGUGGGGAAUAUUGCACAAUGGGCGGAAGCCUGAUGCAGCAACGCCGCGUGCGGGAUGACGGCCUUCGGGUUGUAAACCGCUUUCGCCUGUGACGAAGCGUGAGUGACGGUAAUGGGUAAAGAAGCACCGGCUAACUACGUG
rnacentral:rRNA from 1 species